rnacentral:antisense_RNA from 1 species
AUAACAUUUCUUUGUGCACACUGUGCUUCAAUGUCUUUAAGGAAAAGUAUAUAUUUUUUGUUUCUAUGUCUGCUUGGUGAUUUCUGGGGUUUGAUCACAUGAAUGAAGAUAUUUUACACCUUUUUGUAUCCUAAUUGAAAGUGGGAUUCCACUACAUUUCCAAGGAGCUUAAAAUCUGACCUAAAACCACAACAACACUAGGUUGGAAAUGCCAGGUGACAAGUAAAUCAUGAGGACAACAAAUCUCUCAAGAGUUCAGGAAGGAAGUAGGGUUGCUCGAUACAAAACAGCGACACAGGUUUUUACAGUCUUCCUUUGUUCAAGUAUCAGAAAUGAUGAUGGCUCUACCUUCAGGAAUGUGAAACGAAUAAGAUUUUUAUAUUCCUGCCAAAUAAAUGAAAAUGAUAAAUGAUCAUGUAAAAAUUGACAAAUGUCAAGCAAUAGACUUUUAACCAUGUUCAUUUGAAGCAACUUGCUGUACUUCAGUGCACAAUUACAAAUCAUCCUUUCAA